GUCAUGCUGAAGAGGCAACGACCGAGGAUGAACUAGAACAGAAAACAGAACUGUGUACAAGACACGUAUCGCUGAGAGAGUAUUGUUCUGAGGGCCCCAACAGCAGCAGCUGUGUCUGAGCUAACUCUGCUUGGAACCAGCCUUGAUGGCUCCCAUUUCCCAAGCAAGCCUGGGGGAUGGAUGAUCUCAACCCUACUCAACUGCAGUGGCCACAGGACCCUGGUAUACUACCCUAUGCAGUCCCCUGUGAUGAAAAGGACAUCUUUUUGGGGUGUUAGCUGUAGAAGCGGAGGAGGCAGUGGCACCCCACUCCAGUCCUCUUGCCUGGAAAAUCCCUUGGAUGGAGGAGCCUGGUGGGCUGCAGUUCAUGGGGUCGCGAAGAGUCGGACAGGACUGAGCGACUUCACUUUCACUUUUCAUGUUCAUGCAUUGGAGAAGAAAAUUGCAACCCAAUCCAGUGUUCUUGCCUGGAGAAUCUCAGGACGGGGGAGCCUGGUGGGCUGCCGUCUCUGGGGUCGCACAGAGUCGGACACGACUGAAGCGACUUAGCAGCAGCAGCAGCUCUAGAAGAUCUCGCAGGGCUUCAUAGGAUCGUUGAACUUCAGCAUUUACUGGUC
ensembl:lncRNA